rnacentral:rRNA from 1 species
UUGUAGAUUAGUAUCCUGGGCUCGGAUGGAACCUGGCGGGCUGCCUAACACAUGCAAGUCGGAACGAUGACUCUGUGCCUGGCACAGAAUGAAUAGUGGCGACGGGUGAGGUACACGUGGGGUAGCCUUGCCCUUAACUUCGGAUAAGCUGGGAAACCGGGUCUAAUACCGGAAACGACUCUGGCGCAUGCCAUGGUGGUGGAAAGCUUUAGCGGUUUUGGAUGGACUCGCGGCCUAUCAGCUGGUUGGUUGGGGUAAUGGCCCACCAAGGCGACGACGGGUAGCCGGCCGAGAGGGUGACCGGCCACACUGGGACUGAGACACGGCCCAGACUCGUACGGGAGGCAGCAGUGGGGAAUAUUGCACAAUGGGCGAAAGCCUGAUGCAGCGACGCCGCGUGAGGGAUGACGGCCUUCGGGUUGUAAACCUCUUUCAGCAGGGAAGAAGCGAAAGUGACGGUACCUGCAGAAGAAGCGCCGGCUAACUACGUGCCAGCAGCCGCGGUAAUACGUAGGGCGCAAGCGUUAUCCGGAAUUAUUGGGCGUAAAGAGCUCGUAGGCGGUUUGUCGCGUCUGCUGUGAAAGCCCGGGGCUCAACCCCGGGUCUGCAGUGGGUACGGGCAGACUAGAGUGCAGUAGGGGAGACUGGAAUUCCUGGUGUAGCGGUGAAAUGCGCAGAUAUCAGGAGGAACACCGAUGGCGAAGGCAGGUCUCUGGGCUGUAACUGACGCUGAGGAGCGAAAGCAUGGGGAGCGAACAGGAUUAGAUACCCUGGUAGUCCAUGCCGUAAACGUUGGGCACUAGGUGUGGGGGACAUUCCACGUUUCCGCGCCGUAGCUAACGCAUUAAGUUCCCCCCCCCUGGGAUUUAA